ACCUCAGCUGGAUGGAGCUUAACCUACACCAGCACAGUACAGUUGCAGACGUCUCACCUCCCACCAAACACUUAACCUCGCUACGCCCUUACACAAGGCACAGUGUCACAUAUGCCCCACACACAUCCUGAAGGGACAAUGAAGACUCAAUGACAAUAGCAUUAAUAGCCCUUUACUUAAUUUCCUAUCUAAUUUUUCAUGGUGGUAUCCUGAAACCCAUCUCCCCAGUAGGCAAACUGUGGUUCAA